UACGGAGGGUGCGAGCGUUGUCCGGAAUCAUUGGGCGUAAAGGGCGCGUAGGUGGCCCGGUCAGUCUUUGGUGAAAGCGCGGGGCUCAACCCUGCGUCGGCCAGGGAUACUGCCGCGGCUGGAGCACUGUAGAGGCAGGCGGAAUUCCGGGUGUAGCGGUGGAAUGCGUAGAGAUCGGGAGGAAUACCAGUGGCGAAGGCGGCCUUCUGGACUGACACUGACGCUGAGGCGCGAAAGCCAGGGGAGCAAACGGG
rnacentral:rRNA from 1 species